ACCUUAAGGGAAAGCUCAAAGAAGACAACAUCUGCUAGCGGUGGGUUUGGGCCGUGACACACUCAUUAUUGAUUAUUGAUUAUUGAUUAUACAUUAUGUUUGCAUUGGCAUAGCUUAGAACAAGAUCAGUGAGGUUGAAGUGAGGCAGUUUGAAACAAAACUGGGGUAGCCUUGUUUGACAGAUUUGAAGAUUCGUAGCCAGCCUUGUGCAGGUAGCUUCUUGAGAAGGCUACGGAAAAACAGGUAAAAGUAAUUGCAUAAAGCUUGAUUCAUACAUGGGGGAAGAAAUACCUUGUUCUUCUCAUUAAGUACUCUUCACAAACAAGUAACUUUAGAGUUUGAACAGAAUGUAAUUUGAACCUCUGCUAUGAUUGCUGGAUGAUUGAUUACUUGUGAUGCUUUGCAGAAUGCAUUCAAGUCAACAAAUUGGAGUGUUUUAUGUUAUGAAGAACGAGGUGCAAAAUUGAAUUUUAUAUAUGAUAGCUCCAAAAUUUAAAAGGUGCACUCCUAAAGUUUAAAGAUUUAUUUGAAGUUCAUGUAAAACGGAGCAGGGUCAAUUUCUCGUACUUACUGAGUGUGCUCCCCUUUUAUCGAGUGCCCUGCUCGGUAGGUUGGCCUACCAAACACUUGCUUGUUAUUCCUGUUGAUAAGGUUUGCACUCAUUAUCUUUAGUACUAUAUUUGAUAGAUCAACAAUUUAAUUUUUUUGGUUUAGAGACCAUGUAAAUUUAAAAGUAAACGCCUAAUUUAGUGUUGUUUUUAC